ACAUCCAAUUGUUUUUGGGUAGCUCAAAUUUUACAUAACCUGUGUUUCAGAUCCUAGAGAACUUUGUCCAUUCCAUUGUGGAAUGCCGCUGCUGCCAAAUGCUACGACUGUUUGUAUGGAAAUCAGCCUCCCUGCAGGACAAUUAACCUUUUGACCUCUUCUAAAGGUGCACCAGUAUUCUUGCACGUUGAAUAGAGCUCACAGGAGUGAAAUGAUAAUUAUCAUAUCGCAGCUGGAAGGACUACUGGCUUUUCAGAAUAAAAAUAGUUGGAGAAUGCUUAACCUUUGCUUUUAAGAGCGGAAUACGAUAGCCUGAUCAGGCCUAUGUCUUACAAACGUAGAAUCUCCUGAAAAAUCUGUGCUACCAGCAAAGCCAUGGCUGAAAGCACAGGGUACUGAACCAAAUGGCGUGUGGCAGCAAUGAAAUGCACCUGCCACUGGUUGUAUCUGUGACCCAGGCUGGUCUCGAUUCCAACGUGAACCCUGACCCUUUAUUCUUUGCACCCACUGGUAUUUGUCGCUUACAAACAACACCAUCCACAGCGGAUUUUCUGCCACUAUUUAGACAAGAGCACCUGAGCCAACACUUUUCUUUGAGUGUAAAGAUGCAAGCAGCGUGCUGUCUACUGAAGAAUUUUCCUGUGGAAAAGGAAAAGCAAAGACAGCAAUAGAAGAACAAUGGGACUGUGACUUGCCAUCCUCCAAGGCUGCUGGACAGCUGGAAUGCCUCUCUUCUGCAUAGAAAAAACAAGG
rnacentral:lncRNA from 1 species